rnacentral:rRNA from 1 species
GGCCCUUAUGGGUAGGGUUUCACACGUCAUACAAUGGUCGGUACAGAGGGUUGCCAAGCCGCGAGGCGGAGCCAAUCCCACAAAGCCGAUCGUAGUCCGGAUUGUUCUCUGCAACUCGAGAGCAUGAAGUCGGAAUCGCUAGUAAUCGCGGAACAGCAUGCCGCGGUGGAAUAACGUUCCCGGGCCGUU